GACAGAGGCCUCGAGCGUUAGGCGGAAUCACUGGGCUUAAAGCGUGUGUAGGCGGAUCGUUAAGUACCUUGUGAAAUCCCACGGCUCAACCGUGGAACGGCUGGGUAUACUGGCGGUCUUGGGCCAUUCAGGGGCGACUGGAACAAACGGUGGAGCGGUGAAAUGCGUAGAUAUCGUUUGGAACGCCAAUGGUGAAAACAGGUCGCUGGGAGUGUGCUGACGCUGAGACACGAAAGCCAGGGGAGCGAACGGG
rnacentral:rRNA from 1 species